UAGAUUCCAUAGGUUAUGAGUUACUUUACAUCCUUGUUGGUUUUUGCUCUAAUUCUAUCAAAACUGAAAGAGAGAGAGAUUGAAGUCUCCAACUACAACUACAGUUGUGGAUUUGUCUGUUGCUCCUUUAAGUUCUAUCAGUAUUUGCUCCACAUACUUUGUUUCAAGAAUUCUUAGACUUGCUUAUGGAGGUAUUUUUAUGAUGGCAGCUUUGCAGGUGAAAGUAGUAGUCCAGAUUUCCCACUCUGCAUCCACUGGCACCAGAGGUAAGGAUUCCUAGUUACUGACAGGUGGAAGUGGGAGUUCCAGCUGCCAGCUAGACCUCUACUGAAGCUCCCUGACUGGGAGAGCUGGCCGAGGACUGCUCAUAUAUUCAGAGGAUUUCCAGUGUCUUUUCCUCAGAAUGCCAUCUGAGAGAUGAAUAUACAAAUGGCCAAUGGCCCGAACAUAUAUGGCAACAGAACACUAACCCGCAAUUUCUGUAGUAACCAGCCCAGGAAGCCAAACACCAAUCUCUCAGCAAUGGACCCCAAAUAGUCAAGAUGUGGCCAUGACUUCCAGCUUCCUUAUGUUUUGGCUCUUGCUUCCAACUUCAGGACCAAUAUGAGAACGCCAAAUAUGCUUCUGAAAUCGAUCACAUAGGAUGCCCUGUUUCUAGCUAUCCACCUCCAACUUCCUCAUGCCAACAGUCUUCUGACAGAGCAUACAUGAAACCUUCCCCUUUUAUCACUAUAUGACGUUCCCACACCUCCUCUGCCUCUGAGUCUCUGCCAUGCACAAAUGAUGAUGGUUGAAUCUCUUGCUAUGAUGAGUUUUGAAUAAAUAGCCUUUUUUUACAUA